AUGUGGUCAGUGUGGACAUCAUGAAAUAAUAGAAUUCAUGGAGAUUCCUCAACUAAUCUAACUCAAGCUUGCAGGUGGGCGCAUGACAUGGCAUCAGAUCUGAUGUUGAAUGCAAAACCACAAGGAGAAGGAACCAAAACUAAGACCAAGACAUACUGGCAACGUCCACAAGAAGGCUACUAUAAAAUUAAUGUAGACGCAGCCUUCAAUUCAAAGGAUGAAAAAGGAGCUUCAGGGGUAAUAAUCAGAGACGCUGAUGGCACUGUAGUAGCGGCGAGCAGUAAAUGGUAUGAUUCAGUCCCUGAUGUUUUAAUAGCAGAAGCUUUAGCUUGUAGAGAUGGAGCUAAGAUGAUGAAGAUUCUCAAUAUUCGGCAAGGAACAAUGGAGACUGAUUCUCAGGAGCUUGUGUCCUUUUGGAGAUCCAAAAAACAUCAUAGAGCUAGCAUCUUGUCGAUUAUCAAUGAAAUACAAGAGCUGGUAGAAGGAUGUAGUGGUUUUGAUAUUUACCAUGUUAAGAGGGAGGCAAAUAUAGCAGCUCACAAAGUUGCCAAAUUUGCUUCUGAAUCAAAUCCGGAGUGUGCCUAG
rnacentral:rRNA from 1 species